UAACGCGAAAGGCCUUACCAGGUCUUGACAUCCCUUGCUAAUCCUAGAAAUAGGACGUUCCCUUCGGGGACAAGGUGACAGGUGGUGCAUGGUUGUCGUCAGCUCGUGUCGUGAGAUGUUGGGUUAAGUCCCGCAACGAGCGCAACCCUUAUUAUUAGUUGCCAGCAUUUAGUUGGGCACUCUAGUGAGACUGCCGGUGACAAACCGGAGGAAGGUGGGGAUGACGUCAAAUCAUCAUGCCCCUUAUGACCUGGGCUACACACGUGCUACAAUGGCAUAUACAACGAGUCGCCAACCCGCGAGGGUGCGCUAAUCUCUUAAAGUAUGUCUCAGUUCGGAUUGUAGGCUGCAACUCGCCUACAUGAAGUCGGAAUCGCUAGUAAUCGCGGAUCAGCACGCCGCGGUGAAUACGUUCCCGGGUCUUGUACACACCGA
rnacentral:rRNA from 1 species